rnacentral:rRNA from 1 species
GUAAGGCUGAGUAUUAGGCAAAUCCGGUACUCGUUAAGGCUGAGCUGUGAUGGGGAGAAGACAUUGUGUCUUCGAGUCGUUGAUUUCACACUGCCGAGAAAAGCCUCUAGAUAGAAAAUAGGUGCCCGUACCGCAAACCGACACAGGUAGUCAAGAUGAGAAUUCUAAGGUGAGCGAGCGAACUCUCGUUAAGGAACUCGGCAAAAUGACCCCGUAACUUCGGGAGAAGGGGUGCUCUUUAGGGUUAACGCCCAGAAGAGCCGCAGUGAAUAGGCCCAAGCGACUGUUUAUCAAAAACACAGGUCUCUGCUAAACCGUAAGGUGAUGUAUAGGGGCUGACGCCUGCCCGGUGCUGGAAGGUUAAGAGGAGUGGUUAGCUUCUGCGAAGCUACGAAUCGAAGCCCCAGUAAACGGCGGCCGUAACUAUAACGGUCCUAAGGUAGCGAAAUUCCUUGUCGGGUAAGUUCCGACCCGCACGAAAGGCGUAACGAUUUGGGCACUGUCUCAACGAGAGACUCGGUGAAAUCAUAGUACCUGUGAAGAUGCAGGUUACCCGCGACAGGACGGAAAGACCCCGUGGAGCUUUACUGUAGCCUGAUAUUGAAAUUCGGCACAGCUUGUACAGGAUAGGUAGGAGCCUUUGAAACGUGAGCGCUAGCUUACGUGGAGGCGCUGGUGGGAUACUACCCUAGCUGUGUUGGCUUUCUAACCCGCACCACUUAUCGUGGUGGGAGACAGUGUCAGGCGGGCAGUUUGACUGGGGCGGUCGCCUCCUAAAAGGUAACGGAGGCGCUCAAAGGUUCCCUCAGAAUGGUUGGAAAUCAUUCAUAGAGUGUAAAGGCAUAAGGGAGCUUGACUGCGAGACCUACAAGUCGAGCAGGGUCGAAAGACGGACUUAGUGAUCCGGUGGUUCCGCAUGGAAGGGCCAUCGCUCAACGGAUAAAAGCUACCCCGGGGAUAACAGGCUUAUCUCCCCCAAGAGUUCACAUCGACGGGGAGGUUUGGCACCUCGAUGUCGGCUCAUCGCAUCCUGGGGCUGUAGUCGGUCCCAAGGGUUGGGCUGUUCGCCCAUUAAAGCGGUACGCGAGCUGGGUUCAGAACGUCGUGAGACAGUUCGGUCCCUAUCCGUCGUGGGCGUAGGAAAUUUGAGAGGAGCUGUCCUUAGUACGAGAGGACCGGGAUGGACAUACCUCUGGUGUACCAGUUGUCGUGCCAACGGCAUAGCUGGGUAGCUAUGUGUGGACGGGAUAAGUGCUGAAAGCAUCUAAGCAUGAAGCCCCCCUCAAGAUGAGAUUUCCCAACUUCGGUUAUAAGAUCCCUCAAAGAUGAUGAGGUUAAUAGGUUCGAGGUGGAAGCAUGGUGACAUGUGGAGCUGACGAAUACUAAUCGAUCGAAGACUUAAUCAA